rnacentral:lncRNA from 1 species
GGGUAGUUCUAUUUUUAACUUUUGAGGAACCUCCAUACUCUUUUCCAGAGGGGUUACACCAGUUUGCAUUCCCACCAACAGUGCAAGAGGGUUUGACAUAGUCAUUUUAAAUGGGGUAUUUCAUUUAAUUUUCAAAACAAUUCUGUUUUACAUACUUUCUAUUACUGAUUAUAUUUUACAGGACUACAGUAUUUUAAGUGAUAUUUUUCAAGAUUAUAUAAUGAGUUGUAAGCCCAAGAUUUGUUCUAAGUCUAUUCAACUUCAAAAACUAUCUUCCUCAUCAUAGCUCAUGAUAUGAAAAUAUAAGGAAAUACAUAAAGCCUUGAAGAUUAAAGCAAAAUUAAUGACUGGCUUUAAAUUCACAUUCAGCCAGAGUCAAGAGAACACUACAAAUUGUAAAGUUACAUUGCUUCCUGAAAAGAAUAAGUUUUUCAUAUGCUUGGCCACUCAGUGACGUGAACAUGUUCCCAAAUUGCUUAUGACACAUUCGUUGCCCAGAUACAAGGGCUGAGUGAGGUUGAUCAGCUAGGUCUAGCUGCCACUUUACCCAUAGCUGAGAAUCACAAUCUGAAAACCAGCAAUCUUUGACAAAAGUAUUAUUUCCAAGCACUUCAAGGAAAAUACUCUCUUUACUUUGUUGUUUGGGAGAAGCCUGGAAAGAAAAUGGACAAAUGCAUCAAGAUUUUUCUCUUGACCUAAACUUCAGAUAUUGGAAAGAUUGUGAUGAGUUCCCAGGCUAAAAAAUUUCUUUGGUUGGAAUGACUUCAGCAUAACAGUGGAGUUUCAAGUGUUCAUUCUUUUCUCUUAAAAGUAAAAAGUUAUGUGAUAAUAAUUCUAAUGAUGAUAAUAAUAAUGUUAAGCCAGCAGCAGAAACCCUUAACUCAGAAAAAGGAAACGGAACUUCUGAGUUGUGAGGAGAUGAAGAAAAUCCCCCAAUCAAGAAUUUUUGCAUUUGGAGGUGAGAAGAAGGAAGCCUGGAUCAGGGAAGUAACUUAUUUUUUUGGGGGGGGGGGAACGGGGGAAUAACUUGGUUUUAAAAAGACAGAUUUUGGGCGGUUCAAAUUCUCAUCUUUCAUAUGACUCAUCAUUGUGCAUCUAAGAAUAGCAACACAGAAAAGUGAAAACAAGAGUAGGUUAGAAUAGGGGAGAAUGGAUACUGGGUCCUUCUGUCCUCAUCUGCUUCUUGAUGCUGGCUGGGCAACUUCAUGCCUCUGACACUGAUGUAACUCCACUACAGACUUGGCCUAUCAGAC